rnacentral:rRNA from 1 species
AUGCAUGAGGCGCGCCCUUUAGCCGUCUGCAAAUAUACGGCAACUCAAGGCUAUAAGAGUCUUGAUAAGAAAGCCGGUAGGAGACUCCGUCUUGAGAAGGACAAGUACAUGGAGGUUACUCCGAGAUGGUGCGUCGAUAAGGGGGAGUGUUGGGAGCGGAUCGUGGACUAUUGGUGUUCCAAAGAGUACAGGGCGAAAAACAAAGAUUAUAGAAAUCGGCGAGCCGCAAUGCUGGAUCCACCACAUCAUCAAGGCAACUUGAACGUUAUGGAGUUCGGUGAAUGUUGGGCGUCUCACCAUAAUGCUCCACUGCCCAACCUUUUCGUCUCGUAUGCUUUGGCCCAUAAGGCACCGUACAGAACAGCCACGCCUUACGAUGAGAAUGACACAGCGUCCGCGUACUCCAGCAAGACCGCCUACGAUCGGAUGGAGAAAUUUAAAGGGAUGGCAAAAGAGUUGAAAGGGCCCGAGUAUGAUGUGACAACAGAGCCUCUUGACCACGCGUUGGUCAUGAUCUCUGGAGAACGCAGGAAACAUGGCAAGGAAGCAAUUGCAGGAGGCAUGUUCCCUAGUUCCUCCCGUAGCUCUCUCCCUGAAUACAAAGCUCGGUUAGGUAUCUCAAAAUCUUCUACAUGUAAACGCUCGACUCCAGCUAUGGUUGAGAUAGAGGUAUUCUAUACAAGUCCUUCUAUAUAUGUUUGUUUCUUACUUACUGUUGGAUUGAAGAUGCGAUUGCCAUGCCAUAUUUUGCAGGCCCGACUGGCGGAGUUGAGGCGAGUGGCGGCAGAGGAGAGGGCGGAGGAGAGGCGACUGGCUGAUGAGAGGACGCAGCAAGCGGUGCAGCAGGCGGUGCAGCAGGCGGUGUUGGCACAAACUAGUCAAUGCUUUGCAAUGUUU